GAUGCAGCACCCAAGGCCUUCCUGGCGCCCUUCAUUCCACCGGAAUCUGUCAACACAGAAACCAGAUUUCAGUGAAAUGAAGCCCGUCAGAGAGGCAAGUCA
rnacentral:pre_miRNA from 14 species